rnacentral:rRNA from 1 species
UAUCUCUGUAGAGUCUGCAUAUCAAUAAGCGGAGGAAAAGAAACUAACAAGGAUUCCCCUAAUAACGGCGAGUGAAGCGGGAAGAGCUCAAAUUUGAAAUCUUCAAGGUUUUACCUUGACGUAUUGUAGUUUAAAGAAGUGUUUUCUGUUAGAGGAGUUAGGUAAAAGUUCUUUGGAAUAGGACAUCAUAGAGGGUGAGAAUCCCGUAUUUGACUAUUCUUUCUAGCUUUGUGAUACACUUUCAAAGAGUCGGAUUGUUUGGGAAUGCAGUCCAAAAUGGGUGGUAAAUUUCAUCUAAAGCUAAAUAUUGGCGAGAGACCGAUAGCGAACAAGUACCGUGAGGGAAAGAUGAAAAGAACUUUGAAAAGAGAGUUAAACAGUACGUGAAAUUGUCAAAAGGGAAGCGUUUGACACCAGUGUUGUUUUUCCGAAAAUCAAUUACGAAUGGCUUGAUUUUGUGUUGUAUUGACCUUAUCAGCUUUCUUCACUUUUUUCGAGUCUUUCUUAAUGCACUUUUCGGUUAACAAGUCAACAUCAAUUUCUUUUGUUGUAAAAGAGUAUUCGGAAGGUGGCUUUCUUUUCGGAGAAAGUGUUUAUAGCCCUAUACUUCUACAAUCGGAGAGAUUGAGGUCUGCAGCGUAGAUCCUUCGGGGUUAGAUACACUUGUGCUAAGUUGUAGCCUUUCAUAGACAACUUGUUGACUAUGUUUAGUCAUGCGGCUUACUCGCUUGUGCUAUUUUACCUACGCUUAGGAUGUUGAAGACUCUACAGAGAUA